CGUCGACGAAGGUUGCCAGCGUAUCGGUGAAUGUAGCCCACCGUCCUCAACAACUUCUUCCAUCGUGAAAACCGAGAGAAGUUGACCACCGCAUUACGGAUUACGGAAAGGAACUCUGGACCACGGAACCAUCUGCUGGAUGAUGUCAGACCAGGGUCUCCUUGCCACUUCGUUCCGUCGUCCGCUACGUUAACCUUAGUAGAGAGCCAUCGCCAAUCGUUAACACUGGUUAGUUCCAAAAGUUCGCUCACCCGGAAGGCGACAAAGGGAGUGUAACGCCUGUGGUCCGACCUUAUCCAGCUCACGACGUUUCGAGAGUCCGUCCAGAAAACCCUCUUGCUGAUCCUCAAUCGAUGUGUUUUCGCGAUGUGGUCCGCAAAACGCGCUCCAAUCACGGCUGCUUGAAGCUCCAGACGCGGUAUCGACAGAAGCUUCAGUGGGGCCACACGUGUUUUUGAACCGAUCAGCGCGCACUCCACUGUGUUGUUUUCCUCGAAACGUAGCUUCGCCUUCAACGGUUUUGUCCCAAUGGAUUCCGGAUCUCCACAGGUCCUGCAAGAGUAUCUUAAGGAACAUUAAGAAAUGGCCAAUAAAUCCUAGAGGGUCGUAAAUCAUCAUCAGGAUGCUCAACACUUC